GUCGUACUCCCUCUGUCCCAAAUUAUUGUCUUACAUUUGUCUAGAUACGGAUGCAUCUAAUACUAAAAUGUGACUUGAUACAUCUGUAUUUAGACAAAUUUAAGAUAAGAAUUUUGGGAUGGAGGGAGUAGUAC
rnacentral:pre_miRNA from 1 species